rnacentral:rRNA from 1 species
UACGUAGGGUGCAAGCGUUGUCCGGAAUUAUUGGGCGUAAAGAGCUCGUAGGCGGUUUGUCGCGUCUGCUGUGAAAACUCGGGGCUUAACUCCGGGCCUGCAGUGGGUACGGGCAGACUAGAGUGCGGUAGGGGAGACUGGAAUUCCUGGUGUAGCGGUGAAAUGCGCAGAUAUCUGGAGGAACACCGGUGGCGAAGGCGCACAUCUGGCCCGAUACUGACGCUGAGGCGCGAAAGCUAGGGGAGCAAACGGG